GGAGGAAUAUUGGUCAAUGGCCGGAAGGCUGAACCAGCCAAGUAGCGUGCAGGAUGACUGCCUUAUGGGUUGUAAACUGCUUUUUUACGGGAAUAAUUAUGAUCACGUGUGAUUAUUUGCAUGUACCGUAAGAAUAAGGAUCGGCUAACUCCGUGCCAGCAGCCGCGGUAAUACGGAGGAUCCUAGUGUUAUCCGGAUUUAUUGGGUUUAAAGGGAGCGUAGGCGGGAGGUCAAGUCAGCUGUGAAAUGUAUCUGCUUAACGGGUACACUGCAGUUGAAACUGGUUUUCUUGAGUGCGUAAGAGGCAGGCGGAAUUCGUUGUGUAGCGGUGAAAUGCUUAGAUAUGACGAGGAACUCCUAUUGCGAAGGCAGCUUGCUGGAUCGUUACUGACGCUGAUGC
rnacentral:rRNA from 1 species